CAAGUGCAUCUCCACAAACUCUAUUUUAUCUUAUUGCCUUAACAGUAACUCCGACAAUAGCUUGACUUGACAGUUUACAUUGAAUCAAGUUCAAAACAUGAGCAGCAAAACCCUAGUUAUGUGGUUCUUUCUGUUUUUCAGCAUCCUCACAUAUUCAGCUUAUGGAAGAACAUGCACUGCAAAUACCGGAAAUCUUAAGACCUCCAAGCCACAAGAGGAACCAAAACCAAUGCACGGUAUGAUCUUGGGAUCAAGCAAACCGUGCAUUAAAAGAAGAGUUCAAGAAUUGCAUGCUGCCCUACAAAGGAGGAUUUCCCGGUUAGGAAAGGCUGCAACUUAUAGAGGACCAACCAACUUAAGGCCACGCAGUGUCCGGAAUGCAUCAAACUCAUAUUCAAUUAAACCACCAUCCUUAUUCUUGGUGGCACUCGGACAUCUUGUUUUUGGAUUGCUUUUAGUUCCUUGCUUCUAUCGAAUUCCUUAGGGAAAUAAUUUAGAUAUAAUAACUUAGAUAAUAUUGAUAUUAUUCUCUAAUUAGAAUUGAAAUUUCAUCUUGAUAACUAGUUAAAAUUAUAUAUAGAACUUAUCUAUAGUUUGUCUAUUUCCUAUUGCGGAAUGUUCAUCUUUUAUACGUUACCCAAAACAUAAGUUAAGCUUUAAACUACUACCACUAAAUUAUUAUUAGCGCACCCUAAACAUAAUAAGGUACACAAUCGUAUAUAUGAUUAGCUAGACAUGUCUGAAAUCUAUGGUACUCUUAGUGAAUCAAAUCCAGAACUCUGCAAUGAGUUAGCAGUGUACUUCUGAAUUUUGAUUUGUAUUGUUAUAUCGAGCACUCCUGCUCUUAGCUUUUAUAUAUUAUAAAUUUUGGAUCA